rnacentral:rRNA from 1 species
CCAGAAAGUCACGGCUAACUACGUGCCAGCAGCCGCGGUAAUACGUAGGUGACAAGCGUUGUCCGGAUUUAUUGGGCGUAAAGGGCUCGUAGGUGGUUGAUCGCGUCGGAAGUGUAAUCUUGGGGCUUAACCCUGAGCGUGCUUUCGAUACGGGUUGACUUGAGGAAGGUAGGGGAGAAUGGAAUUCCUGGUGGAGCGGUGGAAUGCGCAGAUAUCAGGAGGAACACCAGUGGCGAAGGCGGUUCUCUGGGCCUUUCCUGACGCUGAGGAGCGAAAGCGUGGGGAGCGAACAGGCUUAGAUACCCUGGUAGUCCACGCUGUAAACGGUGGGUACUAGGUGUGGGGUCCAUUCCACGGGUUCCGUGCCGUAGCUAACGCUUUAAGUACCCCGCCUGGGGAGUACGGCCGCAAGGCUAAAACUCAAAGGAAUUGACGGGGCCCCGCACAAGCGGCGGAGCAUGCGGAUUAAUUCGAUGCAACGCGUAGAACCUUACCUGGGUUUGACAUGGAUCGGGAGUGCUCAGAGAUGGGUGUGCCUCUUUUGGGGUCGGUUCACAGGUGGUGCAUGGCUGUCGUCAGCUCGUGUCGUGAGAUGUUGGGUUAAGUCCCGCAACGAGCGCAACCCUUGUCUNACUGUUGCCAGCACGUUAUGGUUGGGGACUCAGUGAGAGACNGCCGGGGUNAACUCGGAGGAAGGUGNGGAUGACGUCAANUCAUCAUGCCCCUUUAUGUCCAGGGCUUCACNCAUGCUACAAUGGCUGGUACAGAGAGUGGCGAGCCUGUGAGGGUGAGCGAAUCUCGGAAAGCCGGUCUCAGUUCGGAUUGGGGUCUGCAACUCGACCUCAUGAAGUCGGAGUCGCUAGUAAUCGCAGAUCAGCAACGCUGCGGUGAAUACGUUCCCGGGNCUUGUACACACCGCCCGUCACGUCAUGAAAGUUGGUAACACCCGAAGCCGGUGGCCUAACCGUUGUGGGGGAGCCGUCGAAGGUGGGACUGGUGAUUAGGACUAAGUCGUAACAAGGUAGCCGUACCGGAAGGUGCGGCUG